ACCGCAUCUUCUCUUACAAUAGACAUGCAGAUGUGAUCCGUCCAAUGCUGCCAGCAUGUCAGGAUCUCCUGGCUCCUUGCAUUAUUGUAUGCUCUACCGACCGCAAUGUACAAUUUUCGCUGCAGUUGGCAGUUGUAGACUUCACUUGCAUUUUGUUGGCCCAGUUGACAUGGGAAGGGCCUACUUGAACAUUUUGUCGAUCAGUUAAUAUCGUGUUGAUUCAU
rnacentral:lncRNA from 1 species